GAGAUUGGGCUUGACAUCCCACGAACCUGUGAAAGCAGGCCUUCUGGGCAACCAGACAGGGAGACAGGUGGUGCAUGGCUGUCGUCAGCUCGUGUCGUGAGAUGUUGGGUUAAGUCCCGCAACGAGCGCAACCCUCACCCUUUGUUGCCAUCAGGUUAUGCUGGGCACUCUAAGGGAACUGCCUCGGUUAACGAGGAGGAAGGUGGGGAUGACGUCAAGUCAUCAUGCCCCUUACGCUCUGGGCUACACACGUGCUACAAUGGCCAAUACAAAGGGCUGCAAACCCGCGAGGGCAAGCCAAUCCCAAAAAAUUGGUCUCAGUUCAGAUUGUAGGCUGCAACCCGCCUGCAUGAAGGAGGAAUCGCUAGUAAUCGUGGAUCAGCAUGCCACGGUGAAUACGUUCCCGGGCCUUGUACACACCGCCCGUCACACCACGAAAGUCUGCUGUACUCGAAGUCGCUGAGA
rnacentral:rRNA from 1 species